rnacentral:miRNA from 1 species
UGUGGGUUGACAGUGCUGAGGU